rnacentral:sRNA from 1 species
CGGAACACCUUCAAAGCAAAGAAUUUUAGGCAGAUCUUGCACUCGGUCCGUUUACUUACUACAAACAAUGAGUACUAUGUACGCCGGUCAUUUUCUCACUUUCGAGAGA